rnacentral:tRNA from 1 species
GAGAGAGGGUUUUUAUUCCCGCGCACAUUCGUAACCUGCUAACUUGCGAACCCCUGGUUGGAAUCCGGGGCUCUGCUCGCAA